ACUAUGCUACCCAAAGCAAUCUACAGAUUCAAUGCAAUCCCUAUCAAAUUACCACUGGCAUUUUUUACAGAACUAGAACAAAAGUCUUAAAAUUUGUAUGGAGACAGAAAAAACCCCGAAUAGCCAAAGCAGUCUUGAGGGAAAGAAACAGAGUUGGAGGAAUCAGACUCCCUGACUUCAGACUAUACUUCAAAGUACAGUAAUCAAGACAAUAUGGUACUGGCACAAAAACAGAAACAUAGAUCAAUGGAACAAGAUAGAAAGCUCAGAGAUAAACCCAUGCACCUAUGUUCAACUAACCUAUGACAAAGGAGGCAAGGAUAUACAAUGGAGAAAAGACAGUCUCUUCAAUAAGUGGUACUGGGAAAACUGGACAGCUACAUGUAAAAGAAUGAAAUGAAAACACUUCCUAACACCAUAUACAAAAAUAAACUCAAAAUGGAUUCGAGACCUAAGUGUAAGACUGGACACUAUAAAACUCUUAGAGGAAAACAUAGGAAGAACACUCUUUGACAUAAAUCACAGCAAGAUCUUUUUUGAUCCACCUCCUAGAGUAAUGGAAGUAAAAACAAAAAUAAACAAAUGGGACCUAAUGAAACUUCAAAGCUUUUGGACAGCAAAGGAAACCAUAAACAAGAUGAAAAGACAACCCUCAGAAUGGGAGAAAAUAUUUGCAAACAAAUCAACAGACAAAGGAUUAAUCUCCAAAAUAUAUAAACAGCUCAUGCAGCUCAAUUUUAAAAAAACAAACAACCCAAUCCAAAAAUGGGCAGAAGACCUAAAUAGACAUUUCUCCAAAGAAGACAUACAGAUGGCCAAGAAGCACAUGAAAAGUUGCUCAACAUCACUAAUUAUUAGAGAAAUGCAAAUCAAAACUACAGUGAGGUAUCACCUCACACCAGUUAGAAUGGGCAUCAUCAGAAAAUCUACAAACAACAAAUGCUGGAGAAGGUGUGGAGAAAAGGGAACCCUCUUGCACUGUUGGUGGGAAUGUAAAUUGAUACAGCCACUAUGGAGAACAGUAUGGAGGUUCCUUAAAAAACUACAAAUAGAACUACCAUAUGACCCAGCAAUCCCACUACCGGGCAUAUGCCCUGAGAAAACCAUAAUUCAAAAAGAGUCAUGUACCAAAAUGUUCAUUGCAGCUCUAUUUACAAUAGCCCGGAGAUGGAAACAACCUAAGUGUCCAUCAUUGGAUGAAUGGAUAAAGAAGAUAUUGCACAUAUAUACAAUGGAAUAUUACUCAGCCAUAAAAAGAAAUGAAAUCGAGCUAUUUGUAAUGAGGUGGAUAGACCUAGAGUCUGUCAUACAGAGUGAAGUAAGUCAGAAAGAGAAAGACAAAUACCGUAUGCUAACACAUAUAUAUGGAAUUUAAGAAAAAAAAAUUGUCAUGAAGAACCUAGGGGUAAGACAGGAAUAAAGCCACAGACCUACUAGAGAAUGGACUUGAGGAUAUGGGGAGGAGGAAGGGUAAACUGUGACAAAGCGAGAGAGAGGCAUGGACAUAUAUACACUACCAAACGUAAGGUAGAUAGCUAGUGGGAAGAAGCUGCAUAGCACAGGGAGAUCAGCUCGGUGCUUUGUGACCGCCUGGAGGGGUGGGAUAGGGAGGGUGGGAGGGAGGGAGACGCAAGAGGGAAGAGAUAUGGGAACAUAUGUAUAUGUAUAACUGAUUCACUUUGUUAUAAAGCAGAAACUAACACACCAUUGUAAACCAAUUAUACCCCAAUAAAGAUGUUAAAAAAAUAAAAUAAAAUUUUAAAAAAAUCAAUAGGAGAAGGAAGAAAAAGAGAGAAAUAGAAAA